rnacentral:rRNA from 1 species
CAUACGAGAUACUGAUCGGUCUCGUGGGCUCGGAGAUGUGUAUAAGAGACAGGUCCUAAGGUAGCGAAAUUCCUUGUCGGGUAAGUUCCGACCUGCACGAAUGGCAUAAUGAUGGCCACACUGUCUCCUCCUGAGACUCAGUGAAGUUGAAAUGUUUGUGAUGAUGCAAUCUCCCCGCGGCUAGACGGAAAGACCCCAUGAACCUUUACUGCAGCUUUGCAUUGGACUUUGAACCGAUCUGUGUAGGAUAGGUGGGAGGCAGUGAAGCUAGGACGCCAGUCUUAGCGAAGCCAACCUUGAAAUACCACCCUGAUUUGUUUGAGGUUCUAACCUAGGAGCGUGAUCCGCUUCGGGGACCGUGCAUGGUAGGCAGUUUGACUGGGGCGGUCUCCUCCUAAAGGGUAACGGAGGAGUGCGAAGGUACGCUAGGUACGGUCGGAAAUCGUGCUGAUAGUGCAAUGGCAAAAGCGUGCUUGACUGCGAGACCGACAAGUCGAGCAGAUACGAAAGUAGGUCAUAGUGAUCCGGUGGCUCUGCAUGGAAGGGCCAUCGCUCAACGGAUAAAAGGUACUCUGGGGAUAACAGGCUGAUACCGCCCAAGAGUUCAUAUCGACGGCGGUGUUUGGCACCUCGAUGUCGGCUCAUCGCAUCCUGGGGCUGUAGCCGGUCCCAAGGGUAUGGCUGUUCGCCAUUUAAAGAGGUACGUGAGCUGGGUUUAAAACGUCGUGAGACAGUUUUGUCCCUAUCUGCCGUGGGCGUUGGAAGAUUGACGGGGGCUGCUCCUAGUACGAGAGGACCGGAGUGGACUCACCUCUGGUGUACCGGUUGUCACGCCAGUGGCAUCGCCGGGUAGCUAUGUGGGGAAAGGAUAACCGCUGAAAGCAUCUAAGCGGGAAACCUGCCUGAAGAUAAGUCUUCCUGGAGGCUUUGACCUCCCUGAAGAGUCGUUCGAGACCAGGACGUUGAUAGGUUGGAUGUGCAAGCGCUGUGAGGCGUUGAGCUGACCAAUACUAAUUGCUCGUGAAGCUUGAUCCU